rnacentral:rRNA from 1 species
GAUGAACGCUGGCGGCGUGCCUAAUACAUGCCAGUCGAGCGAACGGACGAGAAGCUUGCUUCUCUGAUGUUAGCGGCGGACGGGUGAGUAACACGUGGAUAACCUACCUAUAAGACUGGGAUAACUUCGGGAAACCGUAGCUAAUACCGGAUAAUAUUUUGAACCGCAUGGUUCAAAAGUGAAAGACGGUCUUGCUGUCACUUAUAGAUGGAUCCGCGCUGCAUUAGCUAGUUGGUAAGGUAACGGCUUACCAAGGCAACGAUGCAUAGCCGACCUGAGAGGGGGAUCGGCCACACUGGAACUGAGACACGGUCCAGACUCCUACGGGAGGCAGCAGUAGGGAAUCUUCCGCAAUGGGCGAAAGCCUGACGGAGCAACGCCGCGUGAGUGAUGAAGGUCUUCGGAUCGUAAAACUCUGUUAUUAGGGAAGAACAUAUGUGUAAGUAACUGUGCACAUCUUGACGGUACCUAAUCAGAAAGCCACGGCUAACUACGUG